UCCAGUGUAGCUUAACAGAUAGAGCAUUGUGCUUGCAACCCAAAGGUUCUGAGUUCAAUUCCCACAGAGGGU